rnacentral:rRNA from 1 species
UACGGAGGGGGCUAGCGUUGUUCGGAAUUAUUGGGCGUAAAGAGCUCGUAGGCGGUCUGUCGCGUCGGCUGUGAAAACCCGGGGCUCAACCCCGGGCCUGCAGUCGAUACGGGCAGACUAGAGUGCGGUAGGGGAGACUGGAAUUCCUGGUGUAGCGGUGAAAUGCGCAGAUAUCAGGAGGAACACCGAUGGCGAAGGCAGGUCUCUGGGCCACUACUGACGCUGAGAAGCGAAAGCAUGGGGAGCGAACAGG